rnacentral:tRNA from 1 species
CAGGGAGACAACAAAAUGUUUAAUAUUAUUAUUUUGUCACCUUAGGUCGAUCGGUAUCUCACGUUUUUAAUUUAUUAAGAAUUUCAUUUCCUAAGUUUUUCUAGGUCACACCCAUUAUUUUUCCUGGGCCAUUAGCUCAGGUGGUUAGAGCGCACCCCUGAUAAGGGUGAGGUCCCUGGUUCAAGUCCAGGAUGGCCCAUAUCUCUAUGUUGGGGGUAUAGCUCAGUUGGUAGAGCGCCUGCUUUGCAAGCAGGAUGUCAGCGGUUCGAGUCCGCUUACCUCCACUGAUUACCACCUCUUCCAUAUCCGGUAGACAGGAAAUUUUUUGAGUUGUGAUCAAAUUCUGAAAGAAUCUAGCUUCCUAAUGAAAUCAUUAAGACGCUGGACUCAUUGAAUUAAUUUCAUUGUUUUCAGAGAACCUUGACAACUGCAUAGAUUAUUUUUAAAGACAAUAAGCAUCUUUAAUGAUGCAGAUUUAUUAUUUGUGCGAAUGCAUUAAUAACAAUUCUAUUAAGCUGAUGCUUCAAUUUUUGAAGUUAUU